CUAUAUUAUUGUUGUAAUAUGUUUUACUGUUUUAAAACACUAAUAUUUGUGUUUAGUGAAGUCUCCCGAGAAUAACAGUACCCCCCAUGUACAGGUUUUAUGGUGUUUUGGAAAGUUAGAGAGUCACAUAUAAGGCUUGCAUUUCAUUUUUUUUGACAUUGAAAUUUGCCAGAUUGGUUAUGUUGCCUUUGAGAGCGUAUGGUAGCCCAGGAAUGAGAAUUACCCCCAUGAUGGCAUACCAUUUGCAAAAGUAGACAACCCAAGGUAUUGCAAGUGGGGUAUGUCCAGUCUUUCUUAGUAGCCACUUAGUCAC